rnacentral:pre_miRNA from 2 species
UGUGACUGGUUGACCAGAGGGGCAUGCACUGUGUUCACCCUGUGGGCCACCUAGUCACCAA